rnacentral:lncRNA from 1 species
UUUUAUAUUAAAAUAUAAUAAUUAAAUGUUGCAUUAAAGAAAAGUAAAUUAAAAGUGUUAGUAUAUACAUAUAUAUAUAUUCAUUUAUUAGAAAUAGUCGUUUAUUUUAUGUGAUUACUAUUUUUUAGUUUUGUACAAAAAAAAAAAAAUAUAUAUGUUAUAUAUGCUUUUUAUUUUCAUCUUUUGUAUUAGCAAUAUACGAGUAACAUAAUACGCAUAGAAAAACAUAUAAUUAAAAUAAUAUAUAUAUAUAUAUAUAUAUAUAUGUAUACAUAUUAAAUAUUAAUAAAAAAAAAAUAUAUAUAAAUUAUUGGAAUAGUUAUUUUAAUAUAUAGUCAUAUAUGCUUUUAAAAUGAAAAAUCUAUCAGUGUUUUUUCUCCUUGUUUUUCUUUUGUGUAUUGAAAAAGUUCUAAGAACUACUAAUGUUGCAUUUGCUGGCGUAGAUUGUACUUCAUCUCAGAGAUCCCCGCAUACAGGAGGAAGAAAGCCAACAGUUGAUGUACAUAGUUUAAUUAAAGAUCUUAUAACAAAGGAAGAUGAAGUGGCUGAUUUAGAGAAAUCAAAUUCAAGAUGUAAAGUUAUUGCUAUAGUUUUGGGAAUACUAGCUACUAUUGCAUCAAUCGCUGCUGGUGUUCUGGCAUAUAAAUGUGCCUUUAAAAACACAAUGAGGAGUAGGCACUAUAAAAGCGGUGUGAAUAAUACCAAUGAUGAUGGUGGUAGUGGUGGUAGCAGUGAUGGUGUUGUAGGUGGUAGUGGUGAAGGAAGUGACAAAAAUCCAUUACCGUUAGAGAAAUGAUGUAAGAUCUCUAGUGAUAGAAGAAUGAACACGUAAGGUUUAUUUAUGUGUGGGUUGUGGCAUAUGUAUAGUGAUUAACAUAAACACACGUACAAUAUAUAGUUAAUCAUAAAAUCGUUUUUACAUUUUGGUAUAAUUUUGUAUAUAUAUGUAAUUGUUAUUUUCUCAUUUAUUUCACUAAGAUUUUAUUUUUAUAAUUUUUAUUUUUAUAGUAAUAAGAAUAAUUUAGGAAAUAGGAUCUUGAAUUUAUAUAAAGUAAUUUACAAAAUAUAUUUUAUAUUAAUUAUUAGGUUUUCAAACACGUCAGUAUAUAUAUUUGUAUUAUUAAUAUAAAUAAAUGUUUUAUUUGCAUAUAUAUAAGCA